GGUGGUGUGGCCGAGCGGUCUAAGGCGCUGGAUUUAGGCUCCAGUCUCUUCGGAGGCGUGGGUUCAAAUCCCACCACUGCCA
rnacentral:tRNA from 1 species